rnacentral:lncRNA from 10 species
CAGGGGUGCAGAGACUUUGAUGUCCUCUGCCUCUCGGAACCUAGGCAGGGUUGGGAGUCCCUAGCCAGUUGUCUUGACUGCUUUCCUUUAUGUUCUAUGCAGGUAUUAUCAUUUUCCAUCUGUGCUACCAUGUGAAAAAUGUUGGGAAACUCUACUGGAAACUGACCUCGCUCUUGGGACCCACCCUGCCAGGCAAAAGAGGAUUUCUAGAGGAUGCUCUGAAGCCUGAAUGUGAGUCUGGAAGCCUACACACUAUCGACAGUCCUAGAUAUGACUUCUUCUCAUGGCCAGCAGGGCUGCAGACUGGGUACAGCGCCAUCCAGAAGACAUUACAAUUUCUUCC